rnacentral:rRNA from 1 species
UACGGAGGGUGCAAGCGUUAUCCGGAUUCACUGGGUUUAAAGGGUGCGUAGGUGGGUUGAUAAGUCAGUGGUGAAAUCCCCGAGCCUUAACUUGGGAACUGCCAUUGAUACUAUUGAUCUUGAAUACCGUGGAGGUCAGCGGAAUAUGUCAUGUAGCGGUGAAAUGCUUAGAUAUGAACAUAGAACACCAAUUGCGAAGGCAGCUGGCUACGCGAAUAUUGGACACUGAUGCACGAAAGCGUGGGGAUCAA